GACGAACGCUGGCGGCGUGCUUAACACAUGCAAGUCGAGCGGUAAGGCCCUUUUGGGGGUACACGAGCGGCGAACGGGUGAGUAACACGUGGGUGACCUGCCCUCAGCUCUGGGAUAAGCCUGGGAAACUGGGUCUAAUACUGGAUAUGACCUUUCCUCGCAUGGGGUUGGGUGGAAAGUUUUUCGGCUGGGGAUGGCCCGCGGCCUAUCAGCUUGUUGGUGGGGUGAUGGCCUACCAAGGCGACGACGGGUAGCCGGCCUGAGAGGGCGACCGGCCACACUGGGACUGAGACACGGCCCAGACUCCUACGGGAGGCAGCAGUGGGGAAUAUUGCGCAAUGGGCGGAAGCCUGACGCAGCGACGCCGCGUGGGGAUGACGGCCUUCGGUUGUAACCU
rnacentral:rRNA from 1 species